rnacentral:rRNA from 1 species
UAGAGUUUGAUUCCUGGCUCAGAUGAACGCUAGCGGCAGGCCUUAAUACAUGCAAGUCGGACGGGAUUGAGGAGCUUGCUUCUCAUGAGAGUGGCGCACGGGUGCGUAACACGUAUGUAACCUACCUUGUUCAGGGGGAUAGCCUCUCGAAAGAGAGAUUAACACCGCAUAAAAUCAAUUUAUGGCAUCAUAGAAUGAUCAAAUAUUUAUAGGAACAAGAUGGGCAUGCGGAACAUUAGCUAGUUGGUAAGGUAACGGCUUACCAAGGCUACGAUGUUUAGGGGAUCUGAGAGGAUGACCCCCCACACUGGUACUGAGACACGGACCAGACUCCUACGGGAGGCAGCAGUAAGGAAUAUUGGUCAAUGGACGCAAGUCUGAACCAGCCAUGCCGCGUGCAGGAAGACGGCCCUACGGGUUGUAAACUGCUUUUGUACCGGAAUAAACCUUUUCACGUGGAGAAGCGAAGACGAAGAUAG